AUACGGAGGAUCCGAGCGUUAUCCGGAUUUAUUGGGUUUAAAGGGUGCGCAGGCGGCCAUUUAAGUCAGCGGUUAAAUCGUGGGGCUCAACCCCAUUCUGCCGUUGAUACUGGGUGGCUUGAUUGCGGUCGAGGUUGGCGGAAUUCGUUGUGUAGCGGUGAAAUGCAUAGAUAUGACGAAGAACACCGAUUGCGUAGGCAGCUGACCAGACCGCAAAUGACGCUCAUGCACGAAAGUGCGGGGAUCGAACAGGAUUAGAUACCCUGGUAGUCCGCACAGUAAACGAUGAAUACUUGUUUUCGGCGAUAUAAUGUCGGAGGCAAAGCGAAAGCGAUAAGUACUCCACCUGGGGAGUACGCCGGCAACGGUGAAACUCAAAGGAAUUGACGGGG
rnacentral:rRNA from 1 species